rnacentral:tRNA from 2 species
AGACGGUUAGUCCAAAGCAAGAUUACUGAUUUCGGCUUAGUAGAUUAUGGUUCAACUCCAUAACCGUCUU